GCGUCGAUAUUUAAUCGAUGGACAAUCACAUCAGGUGAGAUGUCCGCAUGUCUGAGGCAGAGCAGACGAAGGCAUCUGUGUUCUUUCUCAGAAAGUUGAUCAGCUUCUAUCUUGGUUCAUCACUUAAGGAAGAUCCGACCUGAACAGUUCUGGUCGGAUCCUCCUCAUUGAAGGGCACCGAGGUGAGUCAUUCUGUGGGUUCUCCUCGACUUUCUUUCUUUCUUUGAUCCAGUCCAU
rnacentral:lncRNA from 1 species